rnacentral:rRNA from 1 species
CAGUAGCCGCGGUAAUACGGAGGGUGCAAGCGUUAAUCGGAAUUACUGGGCGUAAAGCGCACGCAGGCGGUUUGUUAAGUCAGAUGUGAAAUCCCCGAGCUUAACUUGGGAACUGCAUUUGAAACUGGCAAGCUAGAGCCUUGUAGAGGGGGGUAGAAUUCCAGGUGUAGCGGUGAAAUGCGUAGAGAUCUGGAGGAAUACCGGUGGCGAAGGCGGCCCCCUGGACAAAGACUGACGCUCAGGUGCGAAAGCGUGGGGAGCAAACAGGAUUAGAUACCCCUGUAGUCCCUGUCUCUUAUAC